CGCAGUGAGAGCAAUCGGAUGCUCAAUUGACUCCGGAAAUUUGUGAAACAAACAAUGAAGCAAGAGAGAUGAGCAAAGAAGGCGGCGAAGAACGGCUCAGCAUGAGAAAAC
ensembl:ncRNA K07H8.15 ncRNA